rnacentral:rRNA from 1 species
CCUACGGGGGACAGCAGUGGGGAAUAUUGCACAAUGGGGGAAACCCUGAUGCAGCGACGCCGCGUGAGUGAAGAAGUAAUUCGUUAUGUAAAGCUCUAUCAGCAGGGAAGAAAAUGACGGUACCUGAGUAAGAAGCCCCGGCUAACUACGAGCCAGCAGCCGAGGUAAUACGUAGGGGGCAAGCGUUAUCCUGAUUUACUGGGUGUAAAGGGAGCGUAGACGGCAGUGCAAGUCUGGAGUGAAAGGCGGGGGAUAAACCCCCGGACUGCUCUGGAAACUGUACGGCUGGAGUGCAGGAGAGGUAAGUGGAAUUCCUAGUGUAGCGGUGAAAUGCGUAGAUAUUAGGAGGAACACCGGUGGCGAAGGCGGCCUGCUGGACUGCGACUGACGUUGAGGCCCGAAAGCGUGGGGAGCAAACAGGAUUAGAUACCCCUGUAGUC